GCUCACAAUAUUACAGGGCAGAGACAGACUCAGAGGCCCAAUGCAGUAUACCGAAGACAGGGACACACACAGGUUUGUUGUGAAUGGGAGGAAUGUGACAAAACCUAUCAAACAAGACAUAAAAAAGGAAAGCAGGAAAACAAAGUCAAAGGACAACUUGAAAAGAAAAUCAGUAUGCGGGAAGUAUAGAGAGACUGAAAUCAUGAAAAGCAGGACACCGGGUGGCAAGAAAUGUCUGCUUGAAAUUUGACUCCUUAGGAUGGAAGCGAACAUGAAACUACAGCCAGCCCUGGACAGGAUACCAGUUUGUCAGAGGGGCACCCCCACAAUCAAAGAGGGACGACUUGAAACUGCCAGUCUGGUAACAUUUCAGUAGACCAGGGGUGUCGAACUCGAUAUUAUAGAGGGUUCGAUUGGCUACAGGUUUUUGUUCCAGCAACUUCUUAAUCAAUGCUAAUAGAACAGAUCUCUUUUACCUUCAUUUCAAUUAUCAUGGUUUUUAACAUUCAGAACCCUUUAAAUAUUUUCUCUAAACAAUAAACCGCAGCUAAACAGUGAGAUGAAAAACAAGUCAAAAAAUGACAAGCUAACUUGGGCCUUUCAAACUCAGUCCCUGCUGGGUCACCAUUUUCACACCAACCAAAUUCUUGUUCAGCUGCUACUGAAACCCGUCUAACUCUGUGGCUUAUGAUUGCUCUCAAUAUGCCACUCUAGACAUUUUCAAAAGUUACCGAUCUUCUGAUAGUGCCAUCACAUGUUUUACUGACCACAGAAAACCCAUAUUUCUUAGAUCUUCACUUUCUUAUUUUCAAAUAUUUUAAUGGAACAAAUACUGCAUGAUAGACACAAUGAUAUAAAAUUGAUCAAAUUAGUCUGGUGAUCUGUUGACUCGCUUUAAAUCUCAGUAUUGUUUUGGUGCUGGUUAAAGAAAAAUGAAAAAUUUAACACACAAGUCAAUUAAAAUCAUAAAAUACAGCAAUACCUCGUUUAACGAAUCCUCUCUCUACGAAGUUUCAGUAAAAUGAAGCUAACUUCUGACUAUUGCUAAACUUGUUAGGCAUCGUUCAAAUGACAUUACAAUGUUCCGUAUACAUAACAGAACUUAAUGUGUAUAUUAUGAACAGUUCAUUACAUGCAUUGAGAUAUUUAAUGUAUUUUCGACAAUAUUCGCAGAGUAUAAACAAGUUAAUAAUGUUAGGUUCAACAUUAUUUUAUGAAAUAAUUAUUCAUUUUUUUAUUUGUUUAGUAUGUCAGAAUCAUUAACGAGAAAAGCAAUUUCAACAUGACACUAAAGAGGUCGGAGAAAAAAAGUGCAACACUCCAGCAUCUAAGGGGCUGGUACAAUCAACUCUAAAUCAACUCAACAAAGUGGUGAGGCGGCCUUCUGCUGUUAUGCACCUAAAAUCUGGAAUAGCCUGCCAAUAGGAAUUCGCCAGG